GGCCGCCACAGUGCUUUCCCCUCACAGUGCACAAUUUGCCAAUGAGUUCAAAGUGUCUCCGUAACUUCAUGCCAUUUCUUCUGAAGCCAAGCCAGUCUCCUCACCUGAAAAAUGGGAAGAGCAAAAUAUCCUACCCUAGAGGGUUGCUGUGAGAGCCGAAAGCGUCUAUCCACGUGAAGCACAUGGGACAGAGCCUGGCACAAAGAAAAUGCUUCCCAGCUCCAUCAGCCCACCGCCCCCUCUGGCCUUCCCUCAAGAGCAGCCACUGGGCCUUGGUUGCCAUGGAGACAGUUUCCCUCAGAGGCUUUGCCUCCCAUCUUCUUUUCUUUUCUUUUCUUUUUUCUUUUUUUUUAAUUUGAGACAAGAUCUCGCUUUGUCACCCGGCCU
rnacentral:lncRNA from 1 species